rnacentral:rRNA from 1 species
UUCCGGUUGAUCCUGCCGGAGGCUACCGCUAUUGGAGUUCGAUUAAGCCAUGCGAGUCGCGAGUCUUAGGGACUCGGCGUACCGCUCAGUAACACGUGGGUAACCUGCCCUAUGCUGGGGGAUAACCUCGGGAAACUGAGAAUAAUACCCCAUAGUUCACCACGCCUGGAACGGUGGGUGGAUGAAAGCUCCGGCGGCAUAGGAUGGGCCUGCGGCGUAUCAGGUUGUAGGGGGUGUAAUGUACCCUCUAGCCAUCUACGCGUACGGGUGUUGGGAGACAUCGCCCGGAGAUGGAUUCUGAGACACGAAUCCAGACCCUACGGGGUGCAGCAGGCGCGAAAACUUGGCAAUGCGAGCAAUCGUGACCAGGGAACUCCAAGUGCAUCGAGUAAGACCGAUGCUUUUCUUGACUCUUCAAAGGUCUUGGAAUAAGGGGUGGGUAAGGACGGUGCCAGCCGCCGCGGUAAUACCGGCGCCUCAAGUGGUAGUCGCUUUUAUUGGGCCUAAAACGUCCGUAGCCGGUUUGGUACAUUCGUGGGUAAAUCAAGGCGCUCAACGUCUUGAAUUCUGCGAGCACGGCCAGACUUGGGACCGGGUGAGGUGUGGGGUACUCUCAGGGUAGGGGUAAAAUCCUGUCAUCCUGAGAGGACCACCUGUUGCGAAGGCGCCACACUAGAACGGAUCCGACGGUCAGGGACGAAGCCUAGGGGCACGAACCGGAUUAGAUACCCGGGUAGUCCUAGGUGUAAACGCUGUGGACUUGAUGUUGGGAGUGCUCCGAGCACCCUCAGUGUCGAAGCGAAGGUGAUAAGUCCACUGCCUGGGGAGUACGGUCGCAAGGCUGAAACUUAAAGGAAUUGGCGGGGGAGCACUGCAACCUGAGGAUUGUGCGGUUUAAUUGGAUUCAACGCCGGA